UGGGGAAUAUUGGGCAAUGGGCGCAAGCCUGACCCAGCAACGCCGCGUGAAGGAAGAAGGCUUUCGGGUUGUAAACUUCUUUUCUGAGGGACGAUAGUGACGGUACCUCCGGCAUAAGCCACGGCUAACUACGUCCCACCAGCCGCGGUAAUACGUAGGUGGCAAGCGUUAUCCGGAUUUACUGGGUGUAAAGGGCGUUGAGGCAGGACUGCAAGUCAGAUGUGAAAACCAGGGGCUCAACUCCUGGCCUGCAUUUGAAACUGUAGUUCUUGAGUGUUGGAGAGGCAGGCGGAAUUCCGUGUGUAGCGGUGAAAUGCGUAGAUAUACGGAGGAACACCAGUGGCGAAGGCGGCCUGCUGGACAAUAACUGACGCUGAGGCGCGAAAGCGUGGGGAGCAAACAGG
rnacentral:rRNA from 1 species